rnacentral:rRNA from 1 species
ACUUACCAGGUCAAGACAUGGGCGUGAUUGACAGGCUAAUGACUUUUCUCGAUUCCAUGGAUGGUGGUGCAUGGUCGCACUUAGUUGGUGCAGUGAUUUGUCAGGUUUAUUCCGGUAACGAACGAGACCUCGGCCUUGUAAAUAGCUAUGCUGCUUACAGGGACAUUGGCGGCUACGCCAAGGAAGCUCGAGGCAAUUGCAGAUCUGGAAUGCCCUUAGAUGUCCUGGGUCGCACGCGUGCUACAAUGACGCCACGAACGAGCUUGCGUGAUGAAAGUUACGCAUAAUCAGCAGUCGGCGUCUUAAGGGAUAGUCUCUUGUAACUGUGGGACUCCAACUAGGAAUGUCUCGUAAGCACAAGUCAACAUCUUGUGUUGAUUACGUCCCUGCUCUUUGUACACACCGCCCGUCGCUCCUACCGAUCGAGUGUUUAGGUGAACUUGAUGGACGUAAGGAAGUCAAAUAAACCUGAGCACUAGAGAAGAGAAGUCGAGCAUGUU